rnacentral:rRNA from 1 species
GCCAUACCGCGUGUGUGAAGAAGGCUCUAGGGUUGUAAAGCACUUUAAGCAGGGAGAAAAAGUUAUAAGUUAAUACCUUAUAACCGUGAUGUUACCUGCAGAAUAAGCACCGGCUAAUUCCGUGCCAGCAGCCGCGGUAAUACGGAAGGUGCAAGCGUUAAUCGGAAUUACUGGGCGUAAAGCGCGCGUAGGUGGUUUGUUAAGUUGGAUGUGAAAGCCCUGGGCUCAACCUAGGAACUGCAUCCAAAACUAACUCACUAGAGUACGAUAGAGGGAGGUAGAAUUCAUAGUGUAGCGGUGGAAUGCGUAGAUAUUAUGAAGAAUACCGGUGGCGAAGGCGGCCUCCUGGAUCUGUACUGACACUGAGGUGCGAAAGCGUGGGUAGCGAACAGGAUUAGAUACCCUAGUAGUCCACGCCGUAAACGAUGACAACUAGCUGUUGGGAGACAAUGUCUUUCAGUGGCGCAGCUAACGUUUUAAGUUGUCCGCCUGGGGAGUACGGCCGCAAGGUUGAAACUCAAAGGAAUUGACGGGGGCCCGCACAAGCGGUGGAGUAUGUGGUUUAAUUCGAUGCAACGCGAAGAACCUUACCUGGCCUUGACAUGUCCGGAAUCCUGCAGAGAUGCGGGAGUGCCUUCGGGAAUCGGAACACA